rnacentral:lncRNA from 1 species
UAGAUAUAAGAUUGUUAACCACCAAGGAGGUCUUGAGUUAGGAUUUGAUAAUUAUGAUUUCAUUAUGCAAAGUUAUGAAAUUCAUACUUCCAUUGUGCAAUCAUAACCCUACAGCUCGUUGCCUCCUUCUUAUGAUCUAUUGGUGACAAUACUACUCUAUGGCAAAGAGACCUAGGAGUAUGAAGACAUGGUCUCGAUGCUGCAGUCCAAUGAAUAGUGGGAGAAGUUGACCAAAGAAGGUGCUCCCCAAGAAGGCUUGGCUAUGGGGGAUAGAUCAGAAAGAGAAAGAAAAAGAGGCAAGUCAAGGAGAUGGUCAAAGUCUCAAAAGAGCAAGAGCAGGAAGGAAGCCAGGUGCUACAGGUGCAACA